UAUUUGAGGCUGACUGGGGAGAAAGCUGCCUGGAGGAAGCUGCUGGGGUGCGGGGGGUUGAGGGAUUUGGCUCCCCGCCCUCUCCCCUAGCUGGCGGAGAAAUCGGGCUAGCUGGAAGGGCGCAGCUCUUCUCCAAGAGCUCAUUCCGGAGUCGGAGAGCUGUGAAAGCGGCCCCCGAGGCGGAGCCUCCCUCCCGCCCCAAGUCCCGCUGCCCCCGACCUGGGGGAGAGGGGCGGGCGCCGCGCUGCCUUCCCUCCGCGCCUGGGCCGCGUGGCUUGCGGCUUAUUUUCCCAGCUGGCAAGCUUCGCGCUGCAGACAAGGGAAUGCCUGUGGGAAGGCUGCACUGGUUUCCUGAGAUAAAUGGACAGGAAGCGCAUUACCUCCGCGCGCUGGCAAGCGGCUCCCAAAUGCUUUUUGCACCUGCCGUUUUGAGCGGUGAGAGCAGCGGCGGAGCCCGCAGGGAUUGCGGGGGCCCGUUGUCUACGAGCGGGUGAUGAGCCCCCCGCAAGCCCCGGGCUCUCUCCCUCCCGGAGUGCAUUGCUCACGCCAAGCUCUGGGACUCUUCUCUCACACCCAGGUCCUGCGUGUUCCGAAGUUCAGGGGCCCCCUGAUCCCGCUGAGCCCCCUCCAGGAGCGGAAGGGUUAAGAAUGAUGAGGAAGAAGAGGAAGCGAAGCGCGCCCCCCGGCCCAUGCCGCAGCCACGGGCCCAGACCCGCCACGGCGCCCGCGCCGCCGCCCUCGCCGGAGCCCACGAGACCUGCAUGGACGGGCAUGGGCUUGAGAGCAGCACCUUCCAGCGCCGCCGCUGCCGCCGCCGAGGUUGAGCAGCGCCGCCGCCCCGGGCUCUGCCCCCCGCCGCUGGAGCUGCUGCUGCUGCUGCUCAGCCUCGGGCUGCUCCACGCAGGUGACUGCCAACAGCCAGCCCAAUGUCGAAUCCAGAAAUGUACCACGGACUUCGUGUCCCUGACUUCUCACCUGAACUCUGCCGUUGACGGCUUUGACUCUGAGUUUUGCAAGGCCUUGCGUGCCUAUGCUGGCUGCACCCAGCGAACUUCAAAAGCUUGCCGUGGCAACCUGGUAUACCAUUCUGCCGUGUUGGGUAUCAGUGACCUCAUGAGCCAGAGGAAUUGUUCCAAGGAUGGACCCACAUCCUCUACCAACCCCGAAGUGACCCAUGAUCCUUGCAACUAUCACAGCCAUGCUGGAGCCAGGGAACACAGGAGAGGGGACCAGAACCCUCCCAGUUACCUUUUUUGUGGCUUGUUUGGAGAUCCUCACCUCAGAACUUUCAAGGAUCACUUCCAAACAUGCAAAGUAGAAGGGGCCUGGCCACUCAUAGAUAAUAAUUAUCUUUCAGUUCAAGUGACAAACGUACCUGUGGUCCCUGGAUCCAGUGCUACUGCUACAAAUAAGGCAAGUAUACCUUCUUUUUUCCCUCUCCCUACUCAACUUUCAGAUGUUUGAUUCUUCAGAUGACUUUUGAAAUGUGCUAUAAAGGGCCUAGUUUAAAAGGAACUUCUUUUUGAAAAGCAAUUAACAGUUGAUAAAGGGUUAAAUAAAAAUUAUUUAGUAAGGAAUUUCUCAUUGGAAUGUAAGCAUGGUUCUAAUUUUAAAUAGACAGUGAUAUAAAUAAAAAGUAAACAGUGAAAUUGAGUUCUCCAGGGAAAAGGCAGACCUGUUUAAUAAAAAAAGGAUGCUUUUUUCAGUGAUGUCUUUUUUUGAGUGCAUAUGUGUGUGACUCUUGAAGAAAUCCAUGUUCAGAUUUAUCAGAUGAUUGAAGUGGGUGCUCUGAAUAAAGAAAGCUGUGAGGCCUGAGGCAGUGACCUAUCAGGAAACAUAUUUUAUUGGAGAUUUGGAAGCUAUAGUAAAACAUAAUGGCAAUAAGCCAACUUCCCAGUGGUAAACCCACAAUGGUGGUUUAGUUACUAACCUCUUGAUGACCGAGGAGGUUAAUAAUUGGAUAUUGCGGAGCAGCAACAUGUAACCUGUGUGUAAUCUCAGGGCCUCAGGUUAACAGUUUCAGUCAGAAGCUAAGAGAAACACUGACAAAAUUUAGCUUACCAUGACUAGCUGCCAGUUUAUGUGGUCUGUGUUCAUUUGUUUUAAAGAAACUAAUACUGUACAGAGAUCUUUGAAACCAACUUUAAGGCACCAGUGUUUAAUGCAAGCAGGUAGAGAGGACCUAUGAACUGGCUUUCCAAUUGGCAGUCAGUGCUAAUUCAGCCGUUAGUAAGUAAAGUCACUUUUCCACUAAAAUAGUGUCCCAACUAACCACCUCCUUCCGUGUCUUUUCCAACCACAAAACCACACACAUAGACCAUCUCAUCUUGCUUUAUUUCUUGCAUUUAUUGUAUCCAAAAAAAUUGGCUUAGUUUUUUAAUGUAAUUACAAGACUCAAGCUUUUGAAAUACUUAUGACUGUUCUCUUGAUUCCAGGACGCCCUCCCCGCAUCUAAACAUGUGUGGCAUACUUUUUAAAUAAAUUAAAGUUAUUUUACUUGGC
rnacentral:sRNA from 1 species